rnacentral:lncRNA from 1 species
GUGGACCCUUAGGCGUAGCACCUGCACCGCCCUGCCCUGGGGAGGCGACCCCGAGUACCCACGCGGGACACUGGUAAAGGGGGCAUUGUUGGACAUGACUAGCUCUGUCUGGUUCCUGGAGAGGGACAUAAAGGGUGUGUUUGUGCUAGGGUACAAAGAGAGGAUGGCAUCUUCCUUUGCCACCGGAGUAUUGGGGAACUAGGAGGUGCGACCGGCCUUUGGCUUCCUGCACAGUCGGAAUCCGGAGGAUCUUUAAGGUCAAGGACAUCGGCCAGACAGUGAUAAGGACAGGAGCUGGUGUCUUAACCGGAGCAACAGACAUUCAAGCUGAAUGAGGCUGAAUGAGCACAGAAGGGGGAAGGGGGAAGAGGAAACACUUGCGAUAAAAUAGGUACAAGGAUCAAUAUGUGGUGUAUGGGGGCAUACUAAAAGCGUCGUUAUUCAAAAGCAGGUGUAGCAGUUAAUGACAGUCCUGUGGUCAUUACACAGGGCUCUACGUUUCCUUGCAGAAAUGGCUCCCUUCAUCCCAACUCUAAAUUUUGAAGUAGACAUCGAGACUGGGAA